UACGUAGGGUGCGAGCGUUAAUCGGAAUUACUGGGCGUAAAGCGUGCGCAGGCGGUUUUGUAAGCCAGAUGUGAAAUCCCCGGGCUUAACCUGGGAAUGGCAUUUGGGACUGCAAGGCUUGAGUGCGGCAGAGGAGACUGGAAUUCCUGGUGUAGCAGUGAAAUGCGUAGAUAUCAGGAGGAACACCGAUGGCGAAGGCAGGUCUCUGGGCUGACACUGACGCUCAUGCACGAAAGCGUGGGAGCGGAAACAAACGUU
rnacentral:rRNA from 1 species